AGCGCCAUCGCCGGCCUUUUGGCUAAGAUCAAGUGUAGUAUCUGUUCUUAUCAGUUUAAUAUCUGAUACGCCCCUCACCCGGGACUGCAUAUUAAAUUGAUUUUUGGAUCACGGAGCUGGAGCCGGGGCUUGCUCCGUCCACUCCACGCAUCGGCCUGGUAUUGCAGUGUCUCCAGGAACGGUGUGCUUCCC